GUAAUAUUCGAAAACGAGGAUAUAGCGGUUGCGUAGCGAUGCCGGACCGCACCCCGCAACCUCCAGCCAAUCGUGAGCUCCUUCUACACGCUUGUUCACGGGCCUUAAAGCUUUUGGAAAGGCGCUUGCGCUAUUUCUGGGAUGCAGACGGUGCCGCGAGGCUCGAAAAUCAGGGCCGUCUUUUCGUUCUCGACGUUCCAGCCAGCUCUUUCUCCCAUCUUUAUCUUUUUAAACGAUCUUGGACAGAAUAAUUUUGGAGGUUAUAUAGAUCGAUUGGAAUAGAUCGUUUCGAAUAAUUUUGGAGAUUAAAUUAAUUCGUCCAUGUAAAUUUACGGAAUUGGCGAGAGUUUCGAAGACUUGUGUGAUAUUAUAAAUUGCUUUAAUUGAUCUGGAAGGAAUAAGGAAGAGGAUAAAAAUUUUUCGUCGCCUUUGCUGAGAGCCGUUGUUGUUGUAAACGGAUUAUAAAAGGGGAGCGAGAAUUUUUUUUUUUUUUUUUACGAGGAAAGUGUACCGUUGUAAAUAAUUUAGGAUUGAAAUUACAGAGCAGCAGAGGAAGGCGGCGGAGAAAUGUGACGGAAUGGAUUCCUUUUUAAUUUUAGACGUCCGCUGGAGCAACAUAUUCACUCGAGUCUUGUUCAUUGAGACGACUAUGCGCAUAUACGUCUUUUUAAGAAGACGAGAACGAUAUUGCUGCAUCGGUACGAAAAUAGAGAAUGAAAAUUUUGCGAUUUGCGUAAGCCACGGAAGAACGACGGAGGCAUAAAAAUUCAUGUGGAACUCAUGGUUUGGAAUCGAGACAAGAUCUUGUUACAAGUAUAAAAUGUUGUAGUACAGCAUAUUGUAUGUAUUGUUGCGUUGCUUCGAUUAAUAGGAAGAUGACGAUUGAAAUUUCGAUCGUUCAAAAUGAUGAUCGUGAAAAAAUUUCAAAAUUUAAAAAAUUCGUGAAUCACUCGUGCUUGAAUCUUUAACACUAUAAUUCUAAGAUUGUGAAUAGGUUUGAAUUAAUCGCGAAUUAUAAAGUGAUUACAAAAUUUCUUAUAUUCAUGUUAAAACGCUGCUCAAUUUCUUUGUAACUGCAUAGAUUUCAAAUUUUGAUCGCAUAUUAUAUUCAAAUCGAACGGUUAGUUUUCUGGGUGCAUGAUGUAAUUAUUUUGAAUAGAAAUCCAGCAGCACAUAAAAUCGCAUAACAUUGACCGAUUCGUCUGUUAAAUGCUAAAACGCGAAUCGAACGAAGAAGUAGAAAACUGGUUGCGCGUUAAAACCCAAGACUUUAUAUCUUUUCUCGAAAGAUUCCAUCAAUAAUGACAAACGUUGGUCACGAUUUGUAAUAAAAUAUUUAAUAAGAUGAUUGUUACUGAUAAUAAUCGUUACCGAAUAAUAAGGAUUGGAUAAUCCGACUCACGCAAGAAUCAAAGAGUUAUCUGGAGAAUGUAGUUCGAGAUUUGGAGAAGAUCCAAAAUAUAUGCAACUGAGUAAUAUGUUGCAUUAAAUCUUGUAAACUAUUAUUUAUUAUUGAACAGAGCAAUUGUCGAAUGUUUAAUCUAGCUGUUGAAGAAUUUUAAGUUUUGGUAGGCUCUAAUUUUCUAAUGUUUCCUAUGUAAUAAUCGAAUCGCAGUUUAUUCAAAGAAUAUUGUGAAAAUUACGCGAAUAUCACGUGGCGACAUAAAUCAAACAAGGAAACUGAUAUGUUUUUGCCAAAUGCAUAGCUACAAUUGCGCCAAUAUGAGUUUCUCACGUUAUAACAGCCUUGCAAAAUUAUUCCGUAAUAUACACAUACUAAAUGCUUUAAUAAACAUAAAUUUAUAAAUCUUUCAUUCCUAAGACAUAAGGAUUUUAAAUAUUAUAUUUCAACAAAUAUUAUAUAAUUUAAGUUACGAAUUAUAUUAUACAAAAUAUAACAACUCUAAUGCAACAAAAUGCAAAUGAUAAUAGCAUAGUAUGAUAUAAAUGAAUGUUUGCAUUUUCACUUCUGCAUAAGAAUAGAAUAUACAAUUUGGCGAGAGAUUUUCUUUCGACGGGUUAUACGUUGGCAUGUGUCCAAGUUAAACAAGCAAAUAAAGCAUUAGAAUGGCCGUGUUGGACUGCAUAUAAUGGAUUACAAUCUGCGAUCCGUUAUAAUUCGUCAUCAGUAAUAGAAUCAGUUUAAUUAAUUCGAACGAAAAUAUUCAGUUGCCGCAAACGACGGUAAAUUAUAACUCGAACUGUUGUAAUACAAAUAUUGUCGAUCCACGUAAUAAUAAUUUUCAAUCAUGAAAUUCUUUCCAUAAGCGUUUGAUCUUCUUCGUUGUAUUUUUUGGGAAAUUUGAUAUUAUUAAUCAUUUUCAUAUCUAAAUA